rnacentral:tRNA from 1 species
ACCCUUUCGACUCAAUAGUAGAGUAACAUCAUGGUAAGGUGUAAGUCAUCGGUUCAAGUCCGGUAAAGGG